rnacentral:rRNA from 1 species
UACGUAGGGGGCAAGCGUUGUCCGGAAUUAUUGGGCGUAAAGAGCGUGUAGGCGGCCAGAUAAGUCCGCUGUGAAAUCUCGAGGCUCAACUUCGAGCUGUCGGUGGAAACUAUCUGGCUAGAGUCCGGAAGAGGAGAAUGGAAUUCCUGGUGUAGCGGUGAAAUGCGCAGAUAUCAGGAAGAACACCCGUGGCGAAGGCAGGUCUCUGGGCCAUAACUGACGCUGAGAAGCGAAAAGCAUGGGGGAGCGAGCAGG